GAUAAACGCUGGCGGCGCACAUAAGACAUGCAAGUUGAACGGACUUAAUCGAAAUAUUUAUAUUUUGAAGCGGUUAGUGGCGGACUGGUGAGUAACGCGUAAGGAACCUGCCUAUUAGAGGGGAAUAACAGUGAGAAAUCAUUGCUAAUACCGCAUAUGCCAUAGAUAUCACAUGAUAACAGUGGGAAAGGAGCAAUCCGCUAAUAGAUGGCCUUGCGUCUGAUUAGAUAGUUGGUGGGGUAACGGCCUACCAAGUCGACGAUCAGUAGCCGGACUGAGAGGUUGAACGGCCACAUUGGGACUGAGAUACGGCCCAGACUCCUACGGGAGGCAGCAGUCGGGAAUAUUGCGCAAUUGAGGAAACUCUGACGCAGUGACGCCGCGUAUAGGAAGAAGGUUUUCGGAUUGUAAACUAUUGUCGUUAGGGAAGAGAAAGGACAGUACCUAAGGAGGAAGCUCCGGCUAACUACGUG
rnacentral:rRNA from 1 species